UAUUAAUAAUCUCACAGUUGGCAAGACACUGAGUCACUCCCUCAGUGUUCCUCGGGACUCCACAGCGAGAGGAAGUGUGUCGCGCUGGCUCCUCGGGGCCUCCAAAUUCAGCCACCAUGCUCAGCGCUGCUAUGGGUGGGUCGGCGCGUCUCAGCCAGCCUGAUGUACGUUCGCCUUUGUACAUUAAUCCUGAGAUGCGAGAGGAAACAAGCGUGCAUCUCAGCCAGCCAGAUGUGAGAAAAUUGUUCACUUCAAAUGACGGUUUCAAAUCCCCUGUGUCACAAUUUAGAUGAAGAGAAAAUAGAAAAAAUAGUUGUAGAUUUUUUGAUGGUUAUGCAAAAGACAAUAGCCAGUGUUUGGAGUUUUCAGUAUCAGUUUUUUGGAAGUAACGGACACAGCCCUCGGAUUUAACGGACUAAGUAUUGAAAGAAAAAUUGAAAAAAAGGAAGAAAAACAGAAAAUAAGACUACUACUACUACUACUACUACUACUACUACUACUACUACUACUACAGCAACACAACAAAAAUAGUCAAGAAGAAGAAGAGGAAGAGAAACAACAAUCAAACAGAAAUAGUAAAAAAAAUAGUC